CCUACGGGGCGCAGCAGUGGGGAAUAUUGCGCAAUGGGCGAAAGCCUGACGCAGCGACGCCGCGUGAGGGAUGAAGGUCUUCGGAUCGUAAACCUCUGUCAGCAGGGAAGAACGGUCACUGUGCUAAUCAGCAGUGAAUUGACGGUACCUGCAAAGGAAGCACCGGCUAACUCCGUGCCAGCAGCCGCGGUAAUACGGAGGGUGCGAGCGUUAAUCGGAAUUACUGGGCGUAAAGCGCUCGUAGGCGGUAUGUCAAGUCAAGGGUGAAAUCCCCGCGCUCAACGUGGGAACUGCCUUUGAAACUGGCAAACUGGAGUGUGUGAGAGGAUAGUGGAAUGCCAGGUGUAGGAGUGAAAGCCGUAGAUAUCUGGAGGAACAUCAGUGGCGAAGGCGACUAUCUGGCACAUAACUGACGCUGAGGAGCGAAAGCGUGGGUAGCAAACAGGAUUAGAUACCCCAGUAGUC
rnacentral:rRNA from 1 species